rnacentral:rRNA from 1 species
AACGAACGCUGGCGGCAUGCCUAACACAUGCAAGUCGAACGAAUGGUUUCGGCCAUUAGUGGCGCACGGGUGAGUAACGCGUGGGAAUCUGCCCAGCAGUGGGGGAUAACCUCUGGAAACGGAGGCUAAUACCGCAUACGCCCCUCGGGGGAAAGGCUUGCUGCUGCUGGAGGAGCCCGCGUCGGAUUAGGUAGUUGGUGGGGUAACGGCCUACCAAGCCUGUGAUCCGUAGCUGGUCUGAGAGGAUGAUCAGCCACACUGGGACUGAGACACGGCCCAGACUCCUACGGGAGGCAGCAGUGGGGAAUAUUGGACAAUGGGCGCAAGCCUGAUCCAGCAAUGCCGCGUGAGUGAUGAAGGCCUUCGGGUUGUAAAGCUCUUUCGCCCACGACGAUGAUGACGGUAGUGGGAGAAGAAGCCCCGGCUAACUUCGUG